CGCGUAGGCGGUUUGGUCAGUUGGAUGUGAAAGCCCAGGGCUUAACCUCGGAAUUGCAUUCAAUACUGCCAGGCUAGAGUACGGUAGAGGGGGGUAGAAUUCCACGUGUAGCGGUGAAAUGCGUAGAGAUGUGGAGGAAUACCAGUGGCGAAGGCGGCCCCCUGGAUCGAUACUGACGCUGAGGUGCGAAAGCGUGGGGAGCAAACA
rnacentral:rRNA from 1 species